rnacentral:tRNA from 1 species
CAGAUGUUAGUUUAAUAAAAUAUUAAUUUUGGAGAUUAAAGAUAAGAAAUUUUCUUACGUCUGA